UUAAAGAGGGCGAAGCCAGUCAGGUAACAGUGGUCAGCUUCUCGCCGUCUGGUCUGGUAGUUUGAGCAGAGUGUAGUGUCCUCAAGAUGAGUGCUUGUGAGGUUGAUUGUAAGACUGUGUGCUCUUUCUGGGCUCCCGUGGAGGCUGAUCCCAAAUGCUAUGGGGAGAUUGUUCUCCAACGCUUGUUUGAGACCCAUCCAGAUGUUCAGGAGCUGUUCCCCAAGUUUGUUGACCUUUCCAAAGAGCAGCUGCAGAACAAUCCUGGCGUCCAGGCCCAUGGGGAAAUUGUGGUUUGUAAGCUGACAGAAAUCCUGAAAGCAAAUGAGAAACGCAAGGAAAUCAUCAAGGCUCUAGCAGAAAGUCACGCCAAGCAGCACAAGAUCCCUCUGGUUAACUUUCAGAUCAUCAGUGAAGUCAUUGUUACAGUGGCAACAGAGAAGCUUGACGGUUUUGGUCCUGAUGCUCAAACAGCCCUGAAGAAUGUGCUGAAGCAGUUUCAGAUUGACUUGGGAGCUUGCUAUGAGGAGCUUGGAUUUAAACCAUAGUUCUAAUUGGUUUGUGUCAACUGUCUCAAUCUGCUUUUGAGCUCUGGUAUGAAUAAAAAAGUGACUGGCUGCUUGGUCCUUUCUAUUUAAAUAUUCUAUCCUU